UAAUGUUUAUUUUGAAAAUGAACUCCAGAAGUCGAAAAAUAAAAUGCUCCUGUUGCGGACUCAAAGGUGCAGCGUUUGGCUGUUUCGAAAAGAGUUGUCAUAAAAGUUUCCAUGUUCCCUGUGCAAAAUUAGUCUCACAAUGCCGGUGGGAUACUGAUAACUUUGUAAUGUUGUGCCCUCUCCAUGCUUCUUCUAAGUUACCUAAUGAAGAGUCAGAAUCUCAAGGAAGUAGAAAAACAAGUGUUUUAAGAGGACAUUUGCCAGUUCACAACAAGGAAUAUCCUAGAGGAAAAGAAGUCAAUAGGCAGAAGAAAAGGAAUCUUUGUGAAUCGAGCGACAAAUUGGUUCUCUGUUUCUCAGCUCUAUAGUUGAAGAAAAUGCUUCUCACAUGGUCAACAAUAUGAAGGAAGAGAUACCAUAUUAUUCCAUGCCGGAGUACCAUUCUCGGAAGGAAAGUUUGGGUGGUAAUACAAAGGGCUAGAUCAUUAAGU